UACGAAGGGGGCUAGCGUUGUUCGGAUUUACUGGGCGUAAAGCGCACGUAGGCGGAUCGUUAAGUCAGGGGUGAAAUCCUGGAGCUCAACUCCAGAACUGCCUUUGAUACUGGCGACCUUGAGUCCGGGAGAGGUGAGUGGAACUGCGAGUGUAGAGGUGAAAUUCGUAGAUAUUCGCAAGAACACCAGUGGCGAAGGCGGCUCACUGGCCCGGUACUGACGCUGAGGUGCGAAAGCGUGGGGAGCAAACAGG
rnacentral:rRNA from 1 species